UACGUAGGGUGCAAGCGUUAAUCGGAAUUACUGGGCGUAAAGCGUGCGCAGGCGGUUAUGUAAGACAGAUGUGAAAUGCCCGGGCUUAACCUGGGAACUGCAUUUGUGACUGCAUGGCUAGAGUGUGUCAGAGGGGGGUAGAAUUCCACGUGUAGCAGUGAAAUGCGUAGAGAUGGUGGAGGAAUACCGAUGGCGAAGGCAGCCCCCCUGGGAUAACGACUGACGCUCAUGCACGAAAGCGUGGGGAGCAAACAGG
rnacentral:rRNA from 1 species